rnacentral:rRNA from 1 species
AUUGAACGCUGGCGGCAGGCCUAACACAUGCAAGUCGAACGGUAACAGGAAACGAGUUUCUGUUUCGCGGAGGCGUGGCGGGGGCGGGUGUGGUGUCUGGGGGACUGCACGAUGAAGGGGGGGAUCUAGUGGAAACGGUAACUCUUACAGCAUAAAGUCGCAACAGCAAAAAGGAGGGCAUUCUGGCCCCUUGCCCGCAUAUAUGCCCCGAUGUGGGAUUAGCUAGUUGGGGGGGUAAAGGCUCACCUAGGCGACGAUCCGUAGCUGGUCUGAGAGGAUGAUCAGCCACACUGGAACUGAGACACGGUCCAGACUCCUACGGGAGGCAGCAGUGGGGAAUAUUGCACAAUGGGCGCAAGCCUGAUGCAGCCAUGCCGCGUGUAUGAAGAAGGCCUUCGGGUUGUAAAGUCCUUUUAGCGGGGAGGAAGGGAGUCAAGUUAAUACCUUUGCUUAUUGACGUUACCCGCAGAAGAAGCACCGGCUAACUUCGUG